rnacentral:misc_RNA from 1 species
AAAUUCCUUUUUCAUAUCCAGCGUUUGUUGCGUCUUGAAUCGUUAACUCCAUGAAACCAUCUAUCUAAAUGAACAUUUAUUGGUCCUCUAGUCACUGGAAGGAGAGCAUCAGGUAUUAACUCAACACUUGAAACUAAUUCUCUGCAAACGAGUGAAGCUUCACCAAACGAGUCAAGCUGAUCCAAUUCUUCCUGAAUGAUGUUGAUUUGUUGAUUGAGAGCAGAAAUUGCAGCAGCAAGACGAUGUUUCCCCAUAACCAUAUUAUUCGGAGCUCUGAUUCUCGAAGCGGAUCUUACAGAUGAAGGAAGAUCUGUUUGUACCUCAUCCAGUUCUCGUGAAGCUGGUGAUGACGACGACGACUCCAUUAAAGCUUCAAAAUUAGAGCUUGAAGAGAGAUGGAGGAAAUGGAGAUCGAUUUGUAUUUUCUUCGUUAGGGAUUGGGAAUUGAAUAAUAG